UUUGAUUUUCUUCGGAACUGAAGAUUUGGUGAUUGAGUGGCGGACGGGUGAGUAACGCGUGGGUAACCUGCCCUGUACAGGGGGAUAACAGUCAGAAAUGACUGCUAAUACCGCAUAAGACCACAGCACCGCAUGGUGCGGGGGUAAAAACUCCGGUGGUAUAAGAUGGACCCGCGUUGGAUUAGCUAGUUGGCAGGGCAGCGGCCUACCAAGGCGACGAUCCAUAGCCGGCCUGAGAGGGUGAACGGCCACAUUGGGACUGAGACACGGCCCAGACUCC
rnacentral:rRNA from 1 species